UCCUCUCCUAACUAUACUAUGAAGCUCAUAUUAUCAUUAUUUUUGCCCUUUUACAGAAAGGAAAACAUACAAAGAGAAGAUGAAGAGAUAACCAAAUUAAGUGGCUAUGCUCAGCCCACCAUGGAAUAUAUCAUAUUUACCCUCAGUCUUGGAGAAGACUCAAAGGAAAGCCAGAUGAACACCAUCCUAAAUGUGAAGGCCUGCAAAGGCAAUGGGAUAAAAUUGCAGGUAGGUUUCUGUUAAAAUACAAACUAAUGAGUCACAGGUCAGAG
rnacentral:lncRNA from 1 species